rnacentral:pre_miRNA from 1 species
AGCCUUCUGUAUCCGUGCUGAGAUUUCGUCACACACAAACCACAAGGGCUGAGAGACUUCAAAGGUAGGUGAAGCG